rnacentral:rRNA from 1 species
GCAACUCGCCUACAUGAAGUCGGAAUCGCUAGUAAUCGCGGAUCAGCAUGCCGCGGUGAAUACGUUCCCGGGCCUUGUACACACCGCCCGUCACACCAUGAGAGUUUGUAACACCCAAAGCCGGUGGGGUAACCUUUUGGAGCCAGCCGUCUAAGGUGGGACAGAUGAUUGGGGUGAAGUCGUAACAAGGUAGC